rnacentral:lncRNA from 1 species
UGAGCCCUCUUGGAUAUGAAAUGUUGACAAUGAAAAAUGCUGACAGGGAACAAACAAAUAAGCAAAACAAAUAAACAAAACAAAUAAACAAAAUAAACAAAACAAACAAACAAAUAAAUAAAUACUUUAUAGAUAGCCUGGGCCACAUGAGGAAGUGGACCCCACAUCGAAUCAACUCUGAACUAAGCAAAAAUGAUGAAACCGGGGUUGUACUGUACUUUGUGUAUACUAUGUAUGAGAUGACUGGAAAAAUGCUAGGCAAAGUUGAAGACAACAGAAGAAGAGGAUGACCAAAUACGAGAUGGAUUAGCUCCAUAAAGGGAGCCACAGCUUUGAAGAGCUGAGCAAGGGCGUGGAGGUCAGGACAUUCUGGAGAUCGCUCUGCGGAGGCGACUCGACAACAUAUUGCCAUUUGUAAUGAAAAUAUCUACCCUUUUCAUCAAAGGCAGAGAGUGACCGACCCGCACCCUCAGAAGUACAAGCGGUCAGGGGUGGGCGAGGCUGCCAUUGCUCCCUCUUUAUGCAUCCUUCCGUUCUCAAAAUUACUCUGGCCUAAAUCCAGUUCUUAUUCCCAACUAGAUCCAUUUGAUCAACAGGAUUUAUUUAAAUAGUGAGCUACCAAAACUCGUCAUUAAAAAUUAGGUGCAAUUCUCCGCCUCUAUCUUCCCGUAAUCUGCAUUGGCCGCCGCCCCCCUCCCGUACCUCCUCUCCCAUUGGAGGAAAAUUCCGUCAAUCCCACGGGAGAAGCCUCCCCGGCCGGUUGCCGUGGAGACCCGGCGACGCUUUCGCGCAGCUGGCUCAGGAGCCGACGACGUCAUGGCGGGAGUUUUGGUGGGCUCGGUGUCAGAACGCGCACUUACUCGCUCGGUGGCCCAUAGACUAAAAUAUUACAUUGAUGUGCAAAGAAGAGAAGAUUCCUUUGAUUCUUCUGGAGUCAUCCAUGAUGAGGCUGAAAGAUUGCACUUGCAGCCGGCAUGUCUGACAAACCAGAGGGAUAAGAAGGAGCAUGAUUUUGCCAAAAUUAAAUUAGAAGCAUAUCUUCGUGCUUAUGUGGGCAAUGCUGAAGACUGUGCCAGAAAAGUUCAGAAAAGCCCAGAAAAGCAAAAGAAUCUGGAAAAGUCUAUUAAAAAGAUGGCACAAGUAAUGCUUAAAUUACCAUUAUAAAAAUCUUUGUUACUUUGUAUAUAAAACCUUAGAUCAACUGAGUUUGCACAUUAAGAGCAAUAUUUGAUUAGUU